rnacentral:rRNA from 1 species
GACGAACGCUGGUGGCGUGCUUAACACAUGCAAGUCGAACGAUGAAGCCGGAGCUUGCUCUGGUGAAUUAGUGGCGAACGGGUGAGUAACACGUGAGUAACCUGCCCUUGACUCUGGGAUAACUGCUAGAAAUGGUAGCUAAUACCGGAUACGACCCUCGGCGGCAUCGCCAGGGGGUGGAAAGAAUUUCGGUCAAGGAUGGACUCGCGGCCUAUCAGCUAGUUGGUGAGGUAACGGCUCACCAAGGCGACGACGGGUAGCCGGCCUGAGAGGGUGACCGGCCAGACUGGGACUGGGACACGGCCCAGACUCCUACGGGAGGCAGCAGUGGGGAAUAUUGAACAAUGGGCGCAAGCCUGAUGCAGCAACGCGGCGGGAGGGAUGACGGACUUCGGGUUGUAAACCUCUUUUAGUAGGGAAGAAGCGAAAGUGACGGUACCUGCAGAAAAAGCACCGGCUAACUACGUGCCAGCCGCCGCCGUAA